GGUAUGUUCAGCAGCUUCUGACCCCUGUCCUAUAGAUACACCACCUCUCUCCACCCAUCUUGACAGCCAAAAAAACAUCUCCAGACAUUGCUAAAUGUCUCCUGUGGUGCAAAACUCACCACCAUUUGAGAAGCCCUAGAAGAAGUAAGGAGGUGGUCCCAGUCUGAGAGAUUCCCUCCAAUGACACAUUUUGGGGGAGCUGGCAGUGAGCUAUCCAGGUGCAAGGAAACGGACUGACUGCACUCAAUGGUUCCACAAGACUCCCUUGCAAUCAAAACACCCAUUGGAAAUGUCACCUGCACCAGGUGGAUAAAGGAGGCAGAUGGCUUCAAGCCUGCACCAAGGCUCAGCCAAUGGAGGUUUCAAUUGGUAUCAUGGGUCUCUUUUGGUAGAGGAUCCAUACUGUAUCAGAGACCUGCUAAAACAAUCCCCAGUGAUGUGGAAACUUGGAGAGUUUGAGCCAGAAUGAACCAUGAGCAAGGGCCUCAAGAAAGGAAGGAUGUAACAUUAUUAACUACUCGAAGUCCUAUGCCUGCCUUUUACGACCCACAGAUGCGGACUACACAGUGAAAUAAAGGGAAAGUCCUUCUCAAGCCACAACUGAGCCCAUGUCUUCUGGCAGCACCUGAGAGUUCUAAAGAGACAGGGGCCCAGAAGAGAAGCGCAGCUCAUCCUUCAUGUGACUAUUUAAGCUUGAACCAGGAAGGGUGACAACUGCAGGGGUGGCCACUGAGUUCCAUGGAUGGAAGCAGCACUGGGUCAUUGCUGUGGGACCCAGGAGAUGCUGGAAUUUCUUGGCCCUCUGUUGGACCCAAGCGCUGGCUUCUGCUUUCUGCCAGAACAAAACUUCUACUUCCCACCACUCUGCAGAGUCCCCAAGGCCGCCCUGGGCCAGAUGCUCCCCCAGAUGGUGAGCACAGGUGGACGGGGGCCACACCUGGCCAUGAGCUUCCAAUCAAGGACUGGGGACCAAGACAGGGGCCACGCAGCCGGGAGGCUCCAUCGCUCUGGAAGUCAUGGCAGGAGGGACAGUUGGUUAGAAGAACUUGAACUGGAAGCAAGCGAGACUGCAGGGGCAGCAAGGAGGGCUGCAGAGCUGCCAAGAGGAACAUACAAUCCCAGUAUCUUCCCUGCAGCAUUCAGGGAGCUCAGAACAAAUUAGGUGGUGUCGUAUAAUGUCAUCCACGGAUCUCGGGGCCCUCCAGCUUCUGUCAGUGUUUGGGGGACUGGGGUGAUUUGCCAAUUGCGUGCUACAGUAGAAUGAAGAGGAAAUGGAAUUGCUAACAGCACUGAACAUUUUCUCCCAAGCCCUGACUUUGUCCUGUCUCCUGG
rnacentral:lncRNA from 1 species